rnacentral:rRNA from 1 species
UACCAGCUCCUCGAGUGGUCGGGACGAUUAUUGGGCCUAAAGCACCCGUAGCCGGUUCCGUAAGUCCUCUGUUAAAUCCAAUUGCUCAACGGUUGGCCUGCAGAGGAUACUGCGAGACUAGGAGGCGGGAGAGGCGGACGGUACUCCGCGUGUAGGGGUAAAAUCCUUUGAUCCGCGGAAGACCACCAGUGGCGAAGGCGGUCCGCCAGAACGCGCUCGACGGUGAGGGGUGAAAGCUGGGGGAGCGAACCGG